rnacentral:rRNA from 1 species
CCUACGGGUGGCAGCAGUGGGGAAUAUUGGACAAUGGGGGAAACCCUGAUCCAGCGACGCCGCGUGAGUGAAGAAGUAUUUCGGUACGUAAAGCUCUUUCAGCAGGAAAGAAAAUGACGGUACCUGACGAAGAAGCCCCGGCUAACUACGUGCCAGCAGCCGCGGUAAUACGUAGGGGGCAAGCGUUAUCCGGAUUUACUGGGUGUAAAGGGGGCGUAGACGGCAACGCAAGUCUGGAGUGAAAUGUCGGGGCCCAACCCCCGAACUGCUCUUGAAACUGUGAUGCUGGAGUGCAGGAGAGGUAAGCGGAAUUCCUGGUGUAGCGGUGAAAUGCGUAGAUAUCAGGAGGAACACCGGCGGCGAAGGCGGCUUACUGGACUGUAACUGACGUUGAGGCUCGAAGGCGUGGGGAGCAAACAGGAUUAGAUACCCGAGUAGUC